AACAGUGUAAAUGAGGUGGGGAUUAUUGUCCUGUGUAUGAAUCAGUGUAAAUGAGGUGAGGGUUAUUGUCCUGUGUAUGAAACAGUGUAAAUGAGGUGGGGGGGUGUUGUCCUGUGUAUGAAUCAGUGUAAAUGAGGUGGGGGUUGUUGUCCUGUGUAUGAAACAGUGUAAAUGAGGUGGGGGUUAUUGUCCUGUGUAUGAAUCAGUGUAAAUGAGGUGGGGGUUGUAGUCCUGUGUAUGAAUCAGUGUAAAUGAGGUGGGGGUUGUUGUCCUGUGUAUGAAUCAGUGUAAAUGAGGUGGGGUUGUUGUCCUGUGUAUGAAUCAGUGUAAAUGAGGUGGGGGUUGUAGUCCUGUGUAUGAAUCAGUGUAAAUGAGGUGGGGGUUGUAGUCCUGUGUAUGAAUCAGUGUAAAUGAGGUGGGGGUUGUAGUCCUGUGUAUGAAUCAGUGUAAAUGAGGUGGGGGUUGUUGUCCUGUGUAUGAAUCAGUGUAAAUGAGGUGGGGGUUAUUGUCCUGUGUAUGAAUCAGUGUAAAUGAGGUGGGGGUUGUAGUCCUGUGUAUGAAUCAGUGUAAAUGAGGUGGGGGUUGUAGUCCUGUGUAUGAAUCAGUGUAAAUGAGGUGGGGGUUGUUGUCCUGUGUAUGAAUCAGUGUAAAUGAGGUGGGGGUUAUUGUCCUGUGUAUGAAUCAGUGUAAAUGAGGUGGGGGUUAUUGUCCUGUGUAAAUGAGGUGGGGGUUGUUGUCCUGUGUAUGAAUCAGUGUAAAUGAGGUGGGGGUUGUUGUCCUGUGUAAAUGAGGUGGGGGUUGUUGUCCUGUGUAUGAAACAGUAUAAAUGAGGUGGGGGUUGUUGUCCUGUGUAUGAAACAGUGUAAAUGAGGUGGGGGUGUUGUCCUGUGUAUUCAACAGUGUGCUGUAAACU